AAGACGAUGUAUAGGAGCUGACGCCUGCCCGGUGCUGGAAGGUUAAGGGGAUCUGUUAGAGCAAUCGAAGCAGUGAACUUAAGCCCCAGUAAACGGCGGCCGUAACUAUAACGGUCCUAAGGUAGCGAAAUUCCUUGUCGGGUAAGUUCCGACCCGCACGAAAGGCGUAACGAUUUGGGCACUGUCUCAACAACAGACUCGGUGAAAUUGUAAUUCCGGUGAAGAUGCCGGAUACCUGCGACAGGACGGAAAGACCCCAUGGAGCUUUACUGUAGCUUGACAUUGGGUCUUGGUACUACAUGUACAGGAUAGGUGGGAGGCUUUGAAACCAGGACGCCAGUUUUGGCGGAGCCAUCCUUGGGAUACCACCCUUGUAGUACUGGGACUCUAACCAUAGGCCAUGAAUCUGGUCUUGGGACACUGUCAGGUGGGCAGUUUGACUGGGGCGGUCGCUCCCAAAAGGGAACGGAGGCCCCACAGUGAC
rnacentral:rRNA from 1 species